GUCCCUGUAGCGCAAUGGAGUGCGCGCUGGACUUCUGAUCCAAAGGACGUGGGUUUGAAUCGCAUCUGGGAUG